GGCUAGCUCAGUUGGUAGAGCAUGAGAGUUUUAAUCUCAGGGUCGUGGGUUCAAGGACCAUGCC
rnacentral:tRNA from 1 species